AAUGGGAUAACUGGGACAAAUGGUGGUUCCAUUCCAUGUUUUCUGUGGAAUAUCCAUACUGCUUUCCAGAGUGGUUGUACCAAUUUGCAGUGCCAUCAGCAAU
rnacentral:pre_miRNA from 1 species